CUGCCUUGUCGCCUGCUUAACGUCACACAGCAAGUGAGCACCUCCGGUGGAGGGCACAGCGGAGCCCCUUUGGUGGCACGCCACACACGAUGAGUGGCUCCUUUGCGCUGCGCAAGCUCCUCUUCGAUAUCGACGACGAGGAGGACGUCAACCGACGCGGGUACCACUACGCCGGUGCGUAUGCACCGCUUCUUCACAGUGUCGCGGUGCUGCAGCCGGCUGCGGUGCUUCCAAAAAGCGGUCUGCCCUUCGCCUGUCUGUGUCUCUUCUCGUCUUUUGCGACGUGUCUCACCAUGAAGGUACGCAAGAAAGAGAGGUGGUGGAUGGGCAUGUUUGCCAUCUGCGCCGUCUACUACAACAGCGUCAAGGCGCACAAAGUGAACAAUGGGCUUGUCGGCCAUCAAUGCGGUUUCUUUGCCGCUGGAAUGGGUGCCAUCGGGUGUGUCGCGCGGCUGAUGGCCAAAAGCGGCUCUGCUCGAAAGAACUUCGGCUGCCUCGGUCUCUUCACAGCACUACUGUGGUACGAAAUCGGCCGCUAUCACCUGUGGACGGAGCAUGUGACAGAGUUCCGCCGCGAUGUUACGCCGGAGCGGUCGUACGACUUGCUAGGCGAUUAUGUUCCGCAGUCCUUGGAGGUUGAGUUUCUCCCGUACCGCACUAUUACGUAAGGGAAACGAACGAAACCAGCGUCUCUUCUCGCUUCCGCGAUUUCUGUGUUUUGUGGCCACGAGAGUGACUGCAUCUGCUGCCAG
rnacentral:misc_RNA from 1 species